GUCUAUGGCUAUGCUAUCUUGAACAAGCCCAAUCCUGUCUGAUCUCAGAAGCUAAGCAGGGUCGGGCCUGGUUAGUACUUGGAUGGGAGACCACCUAGGAAGACCAGGUGCUGUAGGCA
rfam:Pteropus alecto contig28876, whole genome shotgun sequence.